CAGUGAGGUGUGGGACAAACCCAGAAUGAAGUUGCCAGAUUGGUCAAGAAUCACUGUUCACUGGUGAAGAGAAAUAGCAUAGGAAGAAAUGAGAGUAGUAAUUGACUAAAACUACUGCAGUGAGAACAGAAGGGGAGCUCUAUGCCAGGAAACUCUUUUUACCCUGCAGGCAGCACCCAGAGAUCUGUUGAGUGCAGGAGUAUCCAAAGGAAAACACCACAUUAUGAAGGAGGUCACUUUAUCUGUCUUCAGAUGUAGCCCAGGAGUUGAAAUGUGGACCAGUCACUACAGUCUUUACAGUGUUUAUGUGAUGUUGGAAUACUGAGAUAAAGUUAUACUACCUUUGAAGACCAACAUAAUUUAAUACUGUUAUUUUAAUCUGAAGCCAGUAGCUAUUUUCAAAACAUAGAUCAUUAAGCUUUCUGAUUGUCAAAUAUGCUUCUAUAUGUAUGCCAUUUCUCCCCCAAUUAAUACUGGAGGUGCUUGUAGUCUAAGGAGCCAAAGACACAGAACAGCUCGUUAAGUAAUGUUGGGAUUGAAAGCCUCUAGCUACUCAUGUUAAAAGAAGUAUAAACAGCUAAAGAUUUUCCAGGUCUAGUAAAGCAGUGGCAUUUAUACGAAUAAGGGCAUCUUAGCUCAGAAAUAUAAGCUACAUCUGAAUGAACUCUUUGUAAAACAGAGACUCCUAGAAGGAAGUUAAAGUGAUUUAAGCUUUCCACAUUCUACAUGAAGGCAUACAGGAAAAAAAAAGAAGAAAAAAAGAAACAUCUUCAACCUUCUUGCAGUAUGACAAACUAGCUCAAAAGAAGAUUUUUGCAUAGCUUGCUUAAAAUAUUCCUAAAAUAGAUGAAAAACCACAACCCAGACAUUUGAACAAACGUGGGCAAAUACUGAAAAAAUGAUUAGCAAACAUAUCGGUGAAUUUCAAACAGAUUUUCCCUUUGUUGGUAACUUUUACAGCUGAACUUUUUUUUCUUCAACAGCUGUAUGCAUUGAAGCUCACAGAUGUUUAUGAAAAGCAAAUUUUAGAUCAGGAAUCAAGAUUUACUUAGGCUCUGUGACAGGAGACCACUUAAAUGUAUGCUUAGCUUGGAGUCUGUGGAAACAUUUGCAUGCUUAAAUCUGUUCUUCCAUAUUUUUUCUGAAUUGGGUCCAGAAUCAGAAAAUUAUACUAGGUUUAUGAUUAAAUGAAUCACAUUCUGAGAAGAAACAAGUUAUAAAAUUUAAAUCAGUAAUCCAUCUGAUAACUGGUUACAGU
rnacentral:lncRNA from 1 species